GGCUGGGUCCUGCGCAACGGAACCCCGUGAAACGAGUCAGGGCCGGAAGGCAGCAGCUCUCAGCGGGUUAGUUCUGUGUGCCGCAGUCCAGCCUGGCCGCU
rnacentral:SRP_RNA from 1 species